CUCUCUCACUGAUUACUUGAUGA
rnacentral:piRNA from 1 species